UACGAAGGGUGCAAGCGUUACUCGGAAUUACUGGGCGUAAAGCGUGCGUAGGUGGUUUGUUAAGUCUGUUGUGAAAGCCCCGGGCUCAACCUGGGAAUGGCAAUGGAUACUGGCAAGCUAGAGUGCGGUAGAGGGUAGUGGAAUUCCCGGUGUAGCGGUGAAAUGCGUAGAGAUCGGGAGGAACACCGGUGGCGAAGGCGGCUACCUGGACCAGCACUGACACUGAGGCACGAAAGCGUGGGGAGCAAACAGG
rnacentral:rRNA from 1 species